CCUACGGGCGGCUGCAGUAGGGAAUCUUCCACAAUGGGCGCAAGCCUGAUGGAGCAACGCCGCGUGGGGGAAGAAGGUCUUCGGAUCGUAAAACUCUUUUGUUAGAGAAGAAAGUGCGUGAGAGUAACUGUUCACGUUUCGACGGUAUCUAACCAGAAAGGCACGGCUAACUACGUGCCAGCAGCCGCGGUAAUACGGAGGUGGCAAGCGUUAUCCGGAUUUAUUGGGCGUAAAGGGAGCGCAGACGGUCUUUUAAGUCUGAUGUGAAAGCCUUCGGCUUAACCGGAGUAGUGCAUUGGAAACUGGCAGACUUGAGUGCAGAAGAGGAGGGUGGAACUCGAUGUGUAGCGGUGAAAUGCGUAGAUAUAUGGAAGAACACCAGUGGCGAAAGCGGCUCUCUGGUCUGUAACUGACGCUGAGGUUCGAAAGCGUGGGUAGCAAACAGGAUUAGAUACCCUUGUAGUC
rnacentral:rRNA from 1 species